UGACGCUCUCCCCAAGGACACAAGCCAUGCAUGCCCGCACACCUGGGAAGCGGCGGACGGCUCAGGACAACGGUUGCACCCCCCGCGGCGGUCCCUGCUAGCCGGACACCGCUGGCAACCCGGCGCCAAGACGUGCGCGCAAGUGCGGACGCCCGCGGGCGAGCAGCGUGACGCAGA
rnacentral:rRNA from 1 species